GGUGAAUGGCAGGUGGGCCCCAGAAGUCAAUUUCCCAUUGGGCAAGCGCAAUGUCCAUGCUCUGCAGAAACUUAGGAACUGUUACAGAACUUUACAGAAAAGAGGACAACACUUUAGAUGAAACCUGCCUGCUGACCAUGGAACUAAAUAAAUAUGAUCAGGCAGACUUUUAACUGGAAUACUUGAAGCCCCAUCGUUCUCUAAGAUGAAGAACGAGGAGCGUAAAACCAGUCUUCAACC